rnacentral:lncRNA from 1 species
AAAGCGGUGGCGGUGGCGGCACGAACUUUUCCGGCUCUGCCCCGCGCCCCCUGAGAGGCCAGAAGUGACAACUUGAACGCGGGACUUUGAGGGGUCCGGAGCGGAGAGCAGUGUGCACCCUGAGACACGGUCUCUGCCCCCCCCCCCGCCCUCCGGGUGGCCGCUUGGCACCGCGCCCGGGCGUUCCGCACCAGAACCGACACAGCCCGAACCCUUCACCGAGGGCACCGUGAACUGCAGUGGCUACUUUCACUGUUGUGCUUCCUCCAGGUCCAUGAAGCCCUCGAGUGUGACCCCUAACCCCAGAGCGAAGUGUAGUGGGGAGGUGGUCUCCGAACCCAAGCUUCCACGUGCCCGAAACGAGGGUGGUAGUGUCAGGAAUUGAAAGCUGCUGACAUCCUGUAAGAAAGAAAAGUUGUUAAGCUUGAUUCUGUGGAAGGAAAUUUAAAAUAACAAAAAGAUGAAAAGAAACAGGAAUCUGAAGGACCAUAGAAUAAAUUCCUUUCUAUAUCAUCAAGGAAGAUCCUACUGCCAUUCUCAAGUGACCAGUACCAGUUUACAGUGUUCUACUGUAGCAUAAAAUCAUUAAAGAGCUGUAUGUUUGUUGGUUUUAUUCUCAAUAUGAUCAGUUAGAAUAGAAUGACCUGAGCAGUUUACUGUAAUUGGUAUUCUGAUCAUGCCACCUCAAAUUUCAAAACCUCAAGUAUCUCAAGAAAGAAUUCUGAUUGUCUAACCUUAGACUCUGUCAGUUCCUUUAAUGAUGAUGGCUAACUUAGCUGAAGGCUAAUUGACAUUAAUUUAGCUCACUUGUUUUCUUCCUAGAUUCCCAUGAGACUUUUCAGUCUUUUGAUUUAUUGACUUACUAAAUAAUUUUAAGACACAUGUGUGCUUAAAUCUAGUUUGUUAGCUAAGAUAAGGAAAAUCUAUAAUACAG